rnacentral:rRNA from 1 species
AUUCCAGCUCCAAUAGCGUAUAUUUAAGUUGCUGCAGUUAAAAAGCUCGUAGUUGGAUUUCGGGCGGUUGACGACGGUCCGCCUCUGGUGUGCACUGCCGUUCUUCCGCCUUUCUGUCGGGGACGUGCUCCUAGGCUUCAUUGUCUGGGACACGGGUUCGACGUGGUUACUUUGAGUAAAUUAGAGUGUUCAAAGCAGGCAUCGCCUUGAAUAUAUUAGCAUGGAAUAGCACGAUAGGACUCUGGCCUAUUUUGCUGGUCUGUAGGACCGGUGUAAUGAUUAAUAGGGACAGUUGGGGGUAUUCGUAUUUCAUUGUCAGAGGUGAAAUUCUUGGAUUUUUGAAAGACGAACUACUGCGAAAGCAUUUACCAGGGAUGUUUUCAUCA